AGGGGGUGCCUUUCAGGCAUCCUCUCCCAAACUUUCCAAGGGGCUGGCGCAAGUCAGCCCCCUUUUUUGUCUUCU
rnacentral:sRNA from 1 species